rnacentral:rRNA from 1 species
UACGGAGGGGGCUAGCGUUGUUCGGAAUUACUGGGCGUAAAGCGCACGUAGGCGGCUUUGUAAGUUAGAGGUGAAAGCCCAGGGCUUAACCCUGGAAUUGCCUUUAAGACUGCAUCGCUAGAAUCGUGGAGAGGUAAGUGGAAUUCCGAGUGUAGAGGUGAAAUUCGUGGAUAUUCGGAAGAACACCAGUGGCGAAGGCGACUUACUGGACACGUAUUGACGCUGAGGUGCGAAAGCGUGGGGAGCAAACAGG